rnacentral:rRNA from 1 species
GACGAACGCUGGUGGCGUGCUUAACACAUGCAAGUCGAACGGUGAAGCCCAGCUUGCUGGGUGGAUCAGUGGCGAACGGGUGAGUAACACGUGAGCAACCUGCCCUCCACUUCGGGAUAAGCCUUGGAAACGAGGUCUAAUACCGGAUAUGAGCGCCUGCCGCAUGGUGGGUGUUGGAAAGUUUUUCGGUGGGGGAUGGGCUCGCGGCCUAUCAGCUUGUUGGUGGGGUAAUGGCCUACCAAGGCGUCGACGGGUAGCCGGCCUGAGAGGGCGACCGGCCACACUGGGACUGAGACACGGCCCAGACUCCUACGGGAGGCAGCGGUGGGGAAUAUUGCACAAUGGGCGAAAGCCUGAUGCAGCGACGCCACGUGAGGGAUGACGGCCUUCGGGUUGUAAACCUCUUUCAGCAGGGAAGAAGCGCAAGUGACGGUACCUGCAGAAGAAGCGCCGGCUAACUACGUGCCAGCAGCCGCGGUAA